ACUCAAAUGAAUUGACGGGGGCCCGCACAAGCGGUGGAGCGUGUGGUUUAAUUCGAUGCUAAGCGAAGAACCUUACCUGGGCUUGACAUACUGGUGGUAAAAGCCCGAAAGGGUGAUGAUCCCGGGGUAACUCGGGAAGCCAGCACAGGUGCUGCAUGGUUGUCGUCAGCUCGUGCCGUGAGGUGUUGGGUUAAGUCCCGCAACGAGCGCAACCCUCGUCGCUAGUUACACUCUCUAGCGAGACAGCCUCCCACAAGGAGGAGGAAGGUGGGGAUGACGUCAAAUCAUCAUGGCCCUUACGCCCAGGGCUACACACACGCUACAAUGGCCGGUACAAUGGGUCGCUAAAGCGCAAGCUGGAGCCAAUCCCACCAAAGCCGGCCCCAGUUGGGAUUGCAGGCUGCAACCCGCCUGCAUGAACGCGGAAUCGCUAGUAACCGCAGGUCAGCACACUGCGGUGAAUACGUUCCCGGGCCUUGCACACACCGCCCGU
rnacentral:rRNA from 1 species